rnacentral:rRNA from 1 species
AUUGAACGCUGGCGGCAUGCUUUACACAUGCAAGUCGAACGGCAGCACGGGUGCUUGCACCUGGUGGCGAGUGGCGGACGGGUGAGUAAUACAUCGGAACGUGUCCAGAAGAGGGGGAUAACGCAUCGAAAGAUGUGCUAAUACCGCAUAUACUCUAAGGAGGAAAGCAGGGGAUCGAAAGACCUUGCGCUUUUGGAGCGGCCGAUGUCUGAUUAGCUAGUUGGUGGGGUAAGGGCCUACCAAGGCGACGAUCAGUAGUUGGUCUGAGAGGACGACCAGCCACACUGGGACUGAGACACGGCCCAGACUCCUACGGGAGGCAGCAGUGGGGAAUUUUGGACAAUGGGCGCAAGCCUGAUCCAGCAAUGCCGCGUGAGUGAAGAAGGCCUUCGGUUGU